GACGAACCGUGCGAACGUUAUUCGGAAUCACUGGGCUUAAAGCGCGUGUAGGCGGGUCGGUGCGUCUGACGCUGAAAUCCCCCGGCUCAACCGGGGAAGGGGCGCGGAUACGGCCGGCCUGGAGCGACGUAGGGGGAACUGGAACUCCCGGUGGAGCGGUGAAAUGCGUUGAGAUCGGAAGGAACGCCCGUGGCGAAAGCGAGUUCCUGGACGUCGGCUGACGCUGAGACGCGAAAGCCAGGGGAGCGAACGGG
rnacentral:rRNA from 1 species